GGGCUUAAAGAGUUCGUAGGUGGUUGAAAAAGUUGGUGGUGAAAUCCCAGAGCUUAACUCUGGAACUGCCAUCAAAACUUUUCAGCUAGAGUUUGAUAGAGGAAAGCAGAAUUUCUAGUGUAGAGGUGAAAUUCGUAGAUAUUAGAAAGAAUACCAAUUGCGAAGGCAGCUUUCUGGAUCAUUACUGACGCUGAGGAACGAAAGCAUGGGUAGCGAAGAGGAUUAGAUACCCUGGUAGUCCACGCCGUAAACGAUGUCUACUAGCCGUUGGGAGGCUUGACCUUUUAGUGGCGCAGCUAACGCGAUAAGUAGACCGCCUGGGGAGUACGGUCGCAAGAUUAAAACUCAAAUGAAUUGACGGGGGCCCGCACAAGCGGUGGAGCAUGUGGUUUAAUUCGAUGCAACGCGAAAAACCUUACCAGGCCUUGACAUCCAGAGAACUUUCCAGAGAUGGAUCGGUGCCUUCGGGAACUCUGAGACAGGUGUUGCAUGGCU
rnacentral:rRNA from 1 species